rnacentral:rRNA from 1 species
UACGUAGGGUGCAAGCGUUGUCCGGAAUUAUUGGGCGUAAAGAGCUCGUAGGCGGUCUGUCGCGUCUGCUGUGAAAACUCAGGGCUUAACCCUGAGCUUGCAGUGGGUACGGGCAGACUAGAGUGCGGUAGGGGGAGACUGGAAUUCCUGGUGUAGCGGUGAAAUGCGCAGAUAUCAGGAGGAACACCGGUGGCGAAGGCGGGGUCUCUGGGCCGAUACUGACGCUGGAGGAGCGAAAGCGUGGGGAGCGAACAGG